rnacentral:rRNA from 1 species
GAUGAACGCUAGCGGCAGGCCUAAUACAUGCAAGUCGAACGGUGUAGCAAUACACAGUGGCGCACGGGUGCGUAACACGUAUGCAACCUACCUUACAUUGGGGGAUAGCCUUUCGAAAGGGAGAUUAAUACCGCAUAAGACAGUAACUAGGCAUCUAGUAGCUGUUAAAGAUUUAUCGAUGUAAGCUGGGCAUGCGGCCAAUUAGUUAGUUGGCGAGGUAAUGGCUCACCAAGACGAUGAUUGGUAGGGGAACUGAGAGGUCAAUCCCCCACACUGGCACUGGGAUACGGGCCAGACUCCUACGGGAGGCAGCAGUAGGGAAUAUUGGGCAAUGGGCGCAAGCCUGACCCAGCCAUGCCGCGUGCAGGAAGAAGGCGUUAUGCGUUGUAAACUGCUUUUAUACAGGAAGAAACGACCCUUGCGAGGGGCAUUGACGGUACUGUAUGAAUAAGCACCGGCUAACUCCGUGCCAGCCGCCGCCGUAACAC